UCUCAGUAGGAUUCGAACCCAGAUGAAGUUCUGACCAUCUGUCAGAGAAAAAAGAAAGAAUGGAUCUUGUAGGAUAAGCUAGGGGAGCGAAUGUGAUUAGAUACCCCAGUAGUCCUAGCCGUAAACGAUUAAUACUAGGCGAUGUGCGUAUCGACCCGUGCAGUGCUGUAGUUAACGCGUUAAGUAUCCCGCUUGGGGAGUACGUUCGCAAGAAUGAAACUCAAAGGAACUCAGCCUACGGGGUAUUAGCAGCCGUUUCCAGCUGUUGUUCCCCUCCCAA
rnacentral:ncRNA from 1 species